CAAUAGGUUCUCAUAAGAACCACCUCAACUAAAAAAACAAACAAAA
rfam:Musca domestica strain aabys unplaced genomic scaffold Scaffold19201, whole genome shotgun sequence.